GGCAAUACAGCUCCAUGGUAGAGCACUUGCUUAGUAUGCACAAGGUCCUGGGUUCAAUUCCCAGUACCUCCA
rnacentral:tRNA from 1 species